UUAAAUUGUAGAGUUUGAUCAUGGCACAGAUUUAACGCUUGCGGCAGGCCUAACACAUGCAAGUCGAACGGUAACAGUAAGCA
rnacentral:rRNA from 1 species